CUCACAUUGUUUCCUAACAAAUUACAGAUAUCCUGUAAAUAAGCACACAUCACCAACUGCAGCUGGGAAUGGCGUUCAGACUGCAGGGCUGGUCUACAACUUUUCCUGGGCAGAACUGCCUGAAAUGCCUAUAAUACUGGUUCACUACAUGGACUCCCUUUUAUUUGUCCAUCAUAAUUGCUAAAAGAAAGACUUUUCUUUUUUUUUUUUUUUUUUUUUUUUUUUUUGCAAUAGAAGUACAAAUGAAGAAUCAGUUCCAGUUGCCAUCAACAUAUUUUCUCCUUUUCCCUGAUACAUCUUGGCACGUGGCCCUGGCAGCUCAUGGUUUAGACAUGUACUCUUCAUCAGGUAAAAAACUGGUUGGAUGGCUGGGCCCAAGGAGCACAGAGACAUGGCAGCAAAGCAGCACAUGGAUGUAAGGAUAUUUAUUACUGCAAACUCGACGGCUAACUCUUGUCACCAUGCUGAUUCUUGGUCUCCAUCAUAUCUUCACCACCUCCUGGGCUCUGAGGCACUAUCCACAGGAGAUGCUGCCACACUUCAAAGCAUUACAGACUGGAAGCUGCAGUUUUACAAGAUCCUAUCUACAACCAGAGAUGAAAGAUCUUGCAAGGGUACCUGGGUGUUCCUGUUGCAAAUGCUGUGCUUGGAGCUUGCAAAUAAAGGACAAGAAACAGAAAAGGUAAUGAAUGUAAUGGCCAUUUGUAAAGCAGUUAAGUCUAUUUCCUACAACCCACACAUAGAUUAUUACUAUGGUAAAGUCAUAAGUUUACAGUUUUCCAUAAUCCACUUUCAUGUAUUAC
ensembl:lncRNA